CAGGGGUGGGGCUGGGAAGCCAUAUUUGCAUAGAGACUCUUCCCAUGAUGCCCUGGAACAGACUGGAUCAGAUUGGGUCACAAUACAGUGAGGACAAGACCAGCCUACCCACUUGGCUUUCAGUUUACCAGACUAUUCCAGAUUCUUCACAGUGAACAGGGAAGAAUUAAAUGUCAUAGUUAUAGACCUGCCCCUGACAUGGGUGAAUAGAAGCCCAGAGCCCAAUGCUCAGGAAAGCCAGGCACUUUCUCUUCCAUGGUAGCUGCUGUGGUAAGGAGUUCCCAAGGAGUGCAGAGUCCCUGCUCAUCACGGAAUGCCCCGAUCAAGAGAUCAGACACAGGAGACAAACGGAAACACAUGCAAGUGGUGAGACAAACGGAAACACGUGCAAGUGGUGAGCUGUGACAGUGGUCAGGUCAGAGUGAUGCUACAAGACACAACAGUAAAGAGUGCCACAGAGCUAGGUAAAGUGAGGCAAAAGGAGAAGGCAGCUCAUAGCAAGCAGGAUCCUUGGCAAGGAGAGCCAGCGACUGACUGCAGACAGUGCAGGAGACAGCGUGUGAAGCCGCCCCGGCUGCAGGCUUGUGCAGCUCGCUUUUAUUUAUGGUAACACGCAUUACAGGAAAAUUUUAUAUAAGGCAUUAAAGUGCAAGCAAUUUAAGACACUUGAUCAGCCUUCCUCCCCGGCAUCCUGACAUCUCCUCCCACCCGUCAU